UAGGUGGACCCUGCGGAAGGAUCAUUA
rnacentral:rRNA from 1 species